rnacentral:rRNA from 1 species
UACGAAGGGUGCAAGCGUUACUCGGAAUUACUGGGCGUAAAGCGUGCGUAGGUGGUUUGUUAAGUCUGAUGUGAAAGCCCUGGGCUCAACCUGGGAACGGCAUUGGAAACUGGCUUACUAGAGUGCGGUAGAGGGGUGUGGAAUUCCCGGUGUAGCAGUGAAAUGCGUAGAUAUCGGGAGGAACAUCUGUGGCGAAGGCGACACCCUGGACCAGCACUGACACUGAGGUGCGAAAGCGUGGGGAGCAAACAGG